rnacentral:tRNA from 1 species
GUUCAUGUAGCGUAAUGGAUAGCGCAUUGGACUUAUAAUCCAAAGGACGUGGGUUCAAAUCCUACCUGGGAUA